rnacentral:misc_RNA from 1 species
UGAAAGGCGAAACGUAAUGUGAAUCGCAACUAACAGUGAAUCAUUGAAUCUUUGAACGCAGGCCGCACCUUGCAUUAUCACUCUGUGCUAGUGCAAGGUAUUCACGUAUGAGUGUCAGCCAAAUAUACCUUUGGUUUGUGAGGGGAAUAUGUCUAGUACAAUUUCAACUUGCAAAUGCACAUGUGUCUAGCGACAUAUCUCUAAAGCAAUACACUCGUGUCUGGCCUCAUAUGUGAAAGGUUACCCGCUGGAUUUAA